rfam:Trichobilharzia regenti genome assembly, scaffold: TRE_scaffold0006596
GUACUGCUGAAGAGUCCCAAACUAGGACGAAACAGCUGUUAAGUAC